AAGAGACGUUGCCCUUCGGGGUAUACCUCCCACCCUUUGGUUAUUAUACCUUUGUUGCUUUGGCGGGCCCGUCCUCGGACCACCGGCUUCUGCUGGUCAGUGCCCGCCAGAGGACCUAAAACUCUGUUUGUUAAUAUUGUCUGAGUACUAUAUAAUAGUUA
rnacentral:misc_RNA from 1 species